GAAAGGAGGAGAUGGCGGUGGAGCGGGGAUGACAUCCCAUCCUGAAUGCUCUUCUGUUCCAGGUUGAGCUGCCCGCUGGUUCCGGAGAAAGGACAAGAAAGCCCAGGGCUGCCCGGAAGCAGAGGCUGAGACUGAGCCUGGGGUCCCACCUUCCCUCCCUGGGGCCCUGCAAAGACUCCAGGCCUCCUGCAGGACCCUGGAUCUGAGGCUCCCACACAGACUCCAGAAUGACCUUUCCUUCCACGUCUGAGUUCCCUUCUGCGCGGGGUCCCAGGUCUUCCUCCACCCCAUGGGCCAGAACCUUUUAUCUGGGAGCCCAGUGCCCUUCUCCCGGCCUUGCCUUGAGGGAGGCGUCUGAGUCCCGGAAGCUCACCUGCCGUCAUAGCUUUUGUCCACUUGCUUCCGAAGCACCACGCCUCGCUCUCCUGAGCGCCCAGUGCCGUGAUGAGUGUCGAGGACCAUGAUCCUCUUCACCUCUGUGUGCCUCUCUAAAAUCAAAGCCAGUCCUCUAACCAACCAACCCGGCCUCUGCUAAACAGACCAUAGCAGAGCCCUCCCACGUAUCGACGUGUAUUUCAACCGGGGUCUUCUGAAGAUGAUGCCUCUGUUCGCUUUAAAGG